CAUUCGCUGCCUGUUAUGCGCCGCAAUGAGCCACGAGCUCAAUCAGAAAGUUAGCCAAACAAAUUGAAAACGAAAACACAAAUGAGAUACACUUUUGGCUGGGACUCGAUGCUUUCGAACGACUUUGUUUCUGGCUUUGCAUUUACUUUGCUUUUCCGCAGUCGAAAAGCGACAGGAACAACAGGAUGGCGAAAAGUUGAAGGGAAAAUCAGGCAACAAUAAUAACGGCAAGGGCUUACUUAAUUUUCCCGCGGAGAGCGAAAGCAAUUUCCGUUCGUUAAACCUACAUUUCGAAAUUAAAUUUUUUACACUUGAGAAGCUCGCAGCUUCAAAUAUUUUCAUUUUGCCUCAGACGCGGCGCAAUUAUGCGCCGUCAGUGGGGGUGAGUGGGUGUGCAAGGACCUGGCAACCCUGGCCAACUCGGAACAGGAACCAGGCAACCCCCGAACCCGGGCGUUAGACCCAUUUCUGGAAACCUCCCUCGCUAGCCGGAAACAAGUGAGUUGUAAUGCUCUCUAAGGUUGUGACGCCUUUAAAACUUUUGGCCCGAGUCAAGGGAUGAUGGAACUAAAUUAUCGACUACUUUAUACCUAUUGAGAAUCAUUU
ensembl:ncRNA lncRNA:CR44496 long non-coding RNA:CR44496